rnacentral:rRNA from 1 species
GACGAACGCUGGCGGCGUGCUUAACACAUGCAAGUCGAACGGUGAAGGGACCGGUUUUUGCUGGUUCUGGAUGAGUGGCGAACGGGUGAGUAACACGUGAGUAACCUCCCCCCUUCUUCUGGAUAACCGCAUGAAAGUGUGGCUAAUACGGGAUAUUCUGCGCCUGCUGCAUGGUGGGUUUGGGAAAGAUAUUGUUUCGGUGGGGGAUGGGCUCGCGGCCUAUCAGCUUGUUGGUGGGGUGAUGGCCUACCAAGGCGGUGACGGGUAGCCGGCCUGAGAGGGUGGACGGUCACACUGGGACUGAGACACGGCCAAGACUCCUACGGGAGGCAGCAGUGGGGAAUAUGGCACAAUGGGCGCAAGCCUGAUGCAGCGACGCCGCGUGAGGGAUGGAGGCCUUCGGGAUGUAAACCUCUUUCGCCAGUGAAGCAGGCCUGUCCCUUUUGUGGGUGGGUUGACGGUAGCUGGAUAAGAAGCGCCGGCUAACUACGUG